UGGCGGACGGGUGAGUAACGCGUGGGUAACCUGCCUUACACUGGGGGAUAACACUUAGAAAUAGGUGCUAAUACCGCAUAAGCGCACGAAGCCGCAUGGAUUUGUGUGAAAAACUCCGGUGGUGUAAGAUGGACCCGCGUCUGAUUAGCUUGUUGGCGGGGUAACGGCCCACCUAACCGACGAUGGGUAGGGGUUCUGAGAGGAAGGUCCCCCACACUGGAACUGAGACACGGUCCAGACUCCUACGGGAGGCAGAAGUGAGGAAUAUUGGUCAAUGGACGCAAGUCUGAACCAGCCAAGUAGCGUGCAGGAUGACGGCCCUCCGGGUUGUAAACUGCUUUUAGUUGGGAAUAAAAGGGGGCUCGUGAGCCCCGUAUUGUAUGUACCAUCAGAAAAAGGACCGGCUAAUUCCGUGCCAGCAGCCGCGGUAAUACGGAAGGUCCGGGCGUUAUCCGGAUUUAUUGGGUUUAAAGGGUGCGCAGGCGGUCUGUUAAGUCAGCGGUCAAAGCCCGGGGCUCAGCCCCGGCCCGCCGUUAAAACUGGCAGUCUCGAGUUGGAGAGAAGUAUGCGGAAUGCGCGGUGUAGCGGUGAAAUGCAUAGAUAUCGCGCAGAACUCCGAUUGCGAAGGCAGCAUGCCGGCUCCACACUGACGCUGAGGCACGAAAGCGUGGGUAUCGAACAGGAUUAGAUACCCUGGUAGUCCACGCAGUAAACGAUGAAUGCUGGCUGUCCGGGGGGAUUGACCCCUGGGUGGCGAAGCGAAAGCGAUAAGCAUUCCACCUGGGGAGUACGCCGGCAGCGGUGAAACUCAAAGGAAUUGACGGGGGCCCGCACAAGCGGAGGAACAUGUGGUUUAAUUCGAUGAUACGCGAGGAACCUUACCCGGGCUCAAACGUAAGCGGAAUAACGGUGAAAGCCGUUAGCUAUUUAUAGCCGCUUACGAGGUGCUGCAUGGUUGUCGUCAGCUCGUGCCGUGAGGUGUCGGCUUAAGUGCCAUAACGAGCGCAACCCCCAUCGCCAGUUGCUAACAAGUAACGUUGAGGACUCUGGCGAGACUGCCGGCGCAAGCUGCGAGGAAGGCGGGGAUGACGUCAAAUCAGCACGGCCCUUACGUCCGGGGCGACACACGUGUUACAAUGGCAGGUACAGAGAGAAGCCAUCCCGCGAGGGAGAGCGGAACUUUAAAGCCUGUCUCAGUUCGGAUUGGAGUCUGCAACCCGACUCCAUGAAGCUGGAUUCGCUAGUAAUCGCGCAUCAGCCACGGCGCGGUGAAUA
rnacentral:rRNA from 1 species